rnacentral:rRNA from 1 species
GGCUGAAAUUCGCCUUCAUGAAGCUGGAAUUGCUAGUAAUGGCAGGUCAGCAUACUGCCGUGAAUACGUUCCCGGGCCCUUGUACACACCGCCCGUCACACCAUGAGAGUUGGAAAUACCCGAAGCCUGUGAGCUAACUUAAAGAGGCAGCAGUCGAAGGUAGAGCCAAUGAUUGGGGUGAAGUCGUAACAAGGUACC